rnacentral:rRNA from 1 species
CCUACGGGUGGCAGCAGUGAGGAAUAUUGGUCAAUGGGCGAGAGCCUGAACCAGCAACGUCGCGUGAGGGAGUACUGCCCUAUGGGUUGUAACCCUCUUUUGUCGGGGAGCAAAAGCCGGACGUGUCCGGCUGUGAGAGUACCCGAAGAAAAAGCAUCGGCUAACUCCGUGCCAGCAGCCGCGGUAAUACGGAGGAUGCGAGCGUUAUCCGGAUUUAUUGGGGUUAAAGGGUGCGCAGGCGGAUUUUUAAGUCAGCGGUCAAAUCGUGGGGCUCAACCCCAUCCAGCCGUUGAAACUGGGGAUCUAGAGUGUGCGAGAGGUAUGCGGAAUGCGUGGUGUAGCGGUGAAAUGCAUAGAUAUCACGCAGAACCCCGAUGGCGAAGGCAGCAUACCGGUGCACAACUGACGCUCAGGCACGAAAGCGUGGGUAUCGAACAGGAUUAGAUACCCUAGUAGUC